CUCCAUAUUUGUAAGUUAUUUUCGAUGAUAGAAUAUCUAAUUUGAUUAUCGGUUACAUUUGGCAUAAUCUACACUAUUGUAACUAUCUAAAAACUAAAUUUCAUAAAGUUUCAACAUUAUUAUUAAGUGAUCGAAAGGUCUCAUAAAUGUCUAUUUUAACAGUUGAUAUGUCACGUUUUUAAGUUCAACGGUGUAGAACAAUCCAAAUUAUAUGAAACUUUAAUAGAAAAUUCUAUUUAACAUCAAUAGCAAGAUCGAAACUUCUAAUAUGAAAUUUAAGUUUUUUAUCACUGUUUUUUAUGAGAUUUUUAUUUUCAACCGUUCAUUUUGAGGUUACUCAUUCACUAAGUAAAUGAAGUUAAAAAAUUAUGAAAUUUCAUUUCUCGAUAGUUCCAAUAACGUAAAUCAUGUCUAACAGAGCCGAUCGUCGAAUCAGAUAUCCCAUCAUCGAAAACAAAUUAUAAGUACGGAGUCCUCCAUACUUUCGAAAGCAUAAGAGCCUUGCUCUCUUUCUCUAUAUAUAGAGAGAGAGAGAGAGAGCGCGAGAGAAAGAGAGAGUAGGUCUUGUGUGCUAUUAGAAGCACAGAAGCCUCCGUGCUCCUAAACCGUUUUUGAUGAUGGAACUUCCGAAUCAACUAUCGGCUCCGUUUGACUUGAUCUAACGUAUUCAAACUAUUUAGAAAAUGAUUUUUGCAGAUUUUUUAUAUCAUUUACCUAGUAAUCGAAAAUAAUUUUUACAGAUUUUCGUUAUCAUUUUAAAAAUUAAAAAUUAAAUUUUGAAAUUUUAGAUUUAAAUAUAAAUUUUAAAAUUUUAAAUUUUAAAUUAUAAAAAUUUAAAAUUAAAAUUUUAGAUUUAAAUAUUUAAAAUUUUAAAUUUCAAAUUUCAAGAUUUAAAUUUCAAAUUUAAGAUUUAAAUUUAAAAUUUAAAUUUAAAUUUAAAAUUUAAAAAUUGAAAAUUGAAAAUUAAAAAUUAAAAUUCUAAAUUUAAAAGUUGACAAUUUAAAAUUUUAAAUGAAAAUUUUUUAAAAUGACGUAUUAAAAAGGUUUUGAGAGUUGGAGGGGUAAACUUGUAAGUUUUUAUAACAUGCAUGAUUAGUCGCCUUCAGUAAUUCAAGAUACACAGUUCCUUCGGUAAUAUUUUUAGUAUAAUCUUACACCAUUUGUAAUGCUAUACUACCAAACAAAUUACAUACCAGAUGAACCAAAUAUAAGAAUUCUAACAGGAUUGCCUAUAACCCUGCCAGGAUAAUCCGAACCAAACACAUCCUAAGUUCUUUUUCUUUAUUGUACACUACUGUU
rnacentral:lncRNA from 1 species